UACGUAGGGUGCGAGCGUUAAUCGGAAUUACUGGGCGUAAAGCGUGCGCAGGCGGUUUUGUAAGCCCGAUGUGAAAGCCCCGGGCUCAACCUGGGAAUGGCAUUUGGGACUGCAAGGCUUGAGUGCGGCAGAGGAGACUGGAAUUCCUGGUGUAGCAGUGAAAUGCGUAGAUAUCAGGAGGAAUACCGAUGGCGAAGGCAGGUCUCUGGGCUGACACUGACGCUCAUGCACGAAAGCGUGGGGAGCAAACAGG
rnacentral:rRNA from 1 species